rnacentral:lncRNA from 1 species
UCGUCGUCCUGACUGGUCCAUAACAGCUUCAACUCUUCAGGGACAUCUGGAAUGAAUACACGGAUUUUUCCUUUUCUACAACAAAAUGCAGGCCCCUCGUACUGAAACCUUGUUGCUUCACAAUGGCCGCAGUCUCUGACUUUUCUGAGAACAUGGUGUUCUCUGGGUAGAUCUCGGUAGACACUAUCAAAACUAUCAUGCUCCGGUAUUCCACCAGCAGCCUGACGUUCGUCUCGGACCGAUUCAUACUCAACAUGUACA